GACGGAGGAUGCAAGUGUUAUCCGGAAUUACUGGGCGUAAAGCGCGCGUAGGUGGCUUGAUAAGUUGGAUGUGAAAUCCCCGGGCUCAACCUGGGAACUGCAUCCAAAACUGUCUGGCUAGAGUGUGGUAGAGGGUAGCGGAAUUUCCAGUGUAGCGGUGAAAUGCGUAGAUAUUGGAAGGAACACCAGUGGCGAAGGCGACUACCUGGACUAACACUGACACUGAGGUGCGAAAGCGUGGGGAGCAAACAGG
rnacentral:rRNA from 1 species